rnacentral:rRNA from 1 species
GGUGAACGCUAGCGGGAGGCCUAAUACAUGCAAGUCGAACGGUAACAGGGUAGCAAUACCGCUGACGAGUGGCGCACGGGUGAGAAACACGUACACAAUCUGCCUUAUACUGGGGCAUAGCCUUGGGAAACUGAGAUUAAUUCCCCAUAAUAUAUUGAGAAGGCAUCUUUUUAAUAUUAAACAUCUGGUGGUAUAAGAUGAGUGUGCGUCUGAUUAGCUAGUUGGUAGGGUAACGGCCUACCAAGCCAACGAUCCGUAACUGGUCUGAGAGGAUGAUCAGUCACACGGACACUGAGAAACGGGUCCGACUCCUACGGGAGGCAGCAGUAGGGAAUAUUGGACAAUGGUCGCAAGCCUGAUCCAGCCAUCCCGCGUGAAGGAUUAAGGCCCUUUGGGUUGUAAACUUCUUUUUUGAGGGAAUAAAAACUGGCGUUUACGCUGGCUUGAAGGUACCCCAAGAAUAAGCACCGGCUAACUCCGUGCCAGCAGCCGCGGUAAAAC